UUGAUCCUGGCUCAGGAUGAACGCUACCGGCAGGCUUAACACAUGCAAGUCGAGGGGCAGCGGGGAGGAAGCUUGCUUUCUCCGCCGGCGACCGGCGCACGGGUGAGUAACACGUAUGCAACCUGCCCCUGUCAGGGGGACAACCCGCCGAAAGGCGGGCUAAACCCGCGUACAUGCCACCGGGGCAUCCCGGAGGCAGGAAAGGCUUCGGCCGGACAGGGAUGGGCAUGCGGCGCAUUAGGCAGUAGGCGGGGUAACGGCCCACCUAACCGACGAUGCGUAGGGGUUCUGAGAGGAAGGUCCCCCACACUGGUACUGAGACACGGACCAGACUCCUACGGGAGGCAGCAGUGAGGAAUAUUGGUCAAUGGUCGGGAGACUGAACCAGCCAAGCCGCGUGAGGGAGGAAGGUACAGAGUAUCGUAAACCUCUUUUGUCAGGGAACAAAGGCGGGGACGUGUCCCCGGAUGAGUGUACCUGAAGAAAAAGCAUCGGCUAACUCCGUGCCAGCAGCCGCGGUAAUACGGAGGAUGCGAGCGUUAUCCGGAUUUAUUGGGUUUAAAGGGUGCGCAGGCGGUCUGUUAAGUCAGCGGUCAAAGCCCGGGGCUCAACCCCGGCCCGCCGUUGAAACUGGCAGUCUCGAGUUGGAGAGAAGUAUGCGGAAUGCGCGGUGUAGCGGUGAAAUGCAUAGAUAUCGCGCAGAACUCCGAUUGCGAAGGCAGCAUGCCGGCUCCACACUGACGCUGAGGCACGAAAGCGUGGGUAUCGAACAGGAUUAGAUACCCUGGUAGUCCACGCAGUAAACGAUGAAUGCUGGCUGUCCGGGGGGAUUGACCCCUGGGUGGCGAAGCGAAAGCGAUAAGCAUUCCACCUGGGGAGUACGCCGGCAACGGUGAAACUCAAAGGAAUUGACGGGGGCCCGCACAAGCGGAGGAACAUGUGGUUUAAUUCGAUGAUACGCGAGGAACCUUACCCGGGCUCAAACGGGGAGUGACUCAGGCAGAGACGCCUGUUUCCCACGGGACACUCCCCGAGGUGCUGCAUGGUUGUCGUCAGCUCGUGCCGUGAGGUGUCGGCUUAAGUGCCAUAACGAGCGCAACCCCCGCGUGCAGUUGCUAACAGUCAACGCUGAGGACUCUGCACGGACUGCCGGCGCAAGCCGCGAGGAAGGCGGGGAUGACGUCAAAUCAGCACGGCCCUUACGUCCGGGGCGACACACGUGUUACAAUGGGUGGUACAGCGGGAAGCCAGGCGGCGACGCCGAGCGGAACCCGAAAUCCACUCUCAGUUCGGAUCGGAGUCUGCAACCCGACUCCGUGAAGCUGGAUUCGCUAGUAAUCGCGCAUCAGCCAUGGCGCGGUGAAUACGUUCCCUGGCCUUGCACACACCGCCCGUCA
rnacentral:rRNA from 1 species